CGGUCCAGACGUGGAGGGGGUGGCGGCGGCGGCAUCCCGGACGGCCUGUGAGGGAUGCGCCGCCCACUGCCCCGCGCCGCCUGACCG
rnacentral:miRNA from 1 species